rnacentral:rRNA from 1 species
GACAGAGGUGCCGAGCGUUAGGCGGAAUCACUGGGCUUAAAGCGCGUGUAGGUGGCGGCCUAAGUACCUUGUGAAAUCCUGCGGCUCAACCGCAGAACUGCUUGGUAUACUGGGUCGCUUGAGACAUUCAGGGGCAACUGGAACAAGCGGUGGAGCGGUGAAAUGCGUAGAUAUCGCUUGGAACGCCAAAGGUGAAAACAGGUUGCUGGGGAUGUUCUGACACUGAGACGCGAAAGCGUGGGAAGCAAACAGG